AGAGUUUGAUCCUGGCUCAGAUUGAACGCUGGCGGCAUGCUUUACACAUGCAAGUCGAACGGUAACGCGGGGGCAACCCUGGCGACGAGUGGCGAACGGGUGAGUAAUACAUCGGAACAUGUCCUGGAGUGGGGGAUAGCUCGGCGAAAGCCGGAUUAAUACCGCAUACGCUAUGAGGAGGAAAGCGGGGGACCUGGUAACGGGCCUCGCGCUGCGGGAGUGGCCGAUGUCGGAUUAGCUAGUUGGUGAGGUAAAGGCUCACCAAGGCGACGAUCCGUAGCUGGUCUGAGAGGAUGAUCAGCCACACUGGGACUGAGACACGGCCCAGACUCCUACGGGAGGCAGCAGUGGGGAAUUUUGGACAAUGGGGGCAACCCUGAUCCAGCCAUGCCGCGUGAGUGAAGAAGGCCUUCGGGUUGUAAAGCUCUUUCGGACGGAACGAAAUGGUUACGGAUAAUACCCGUGACUGAUGACGGUACUGUAAGAGAGCCC
rnacentral:rRNA from 1 species